rnacentral:rRNA from 1 species
GGUUAAGCGACUAAGCGUACACGGUGGAUGCCCAGGCAGUCAGAGGCGAUGAAGGACGUGCUAAUCUGCGAUAAGCGUCGGUAAGGUGAUAUGAACCGUUAUAACCGGCGAUUUCCGAAUGGGGAAACCCAGUGUGUUUCGACACACUAUCAUUAACUGAAUCCAUAGGUUAAUGAGGCGAACCGGGGGAACUGAAACAUCUAAGUACCCCGAGGAAAAGAAAUCAACCGAGAUUCCCCCAGUAGCGGCGAGCGAACGGGGAGCAGCCCAGAGCCUGAAUCAGUGUGUGUGUUAGUGGAAGCGUCUGGAAAGGCGCGCGAUACAGGGUGACAGCCCCGUACACAAAAAUGCACAUGCUGUGAGCUCGAUGAGUAGGGCGGGACACGUGGUAUCCUGUCUGAAUAUGGGGGACCAUCCUCCAAGGCUAAAUACUCCUGACUGACCGAUAGUGAACCAGUACCGUGAGGGAAAGGCGAAAAGAACCCCGGCGAGGGGAGUGAAAAAGAACCUGAAACCGUGUACGUACAAGCAGUGGGAGCACGCUUAGGCGUGUGACUGCGUACCUUUUGUAUAAUGGGUCAGCGACUUAUAUUCUGUAGCAAGGUUAACCGAAUAGGGGAGCCGAAGGGAAACCGAGUCUUAACUGGGCGUUAAGUUGCAGGGUAUAGACCCGAAACCCGGUGAUCUAGCCAUGGGCAGGUUGAAGGUUGGGUAACACUAACUGGAGGACCGAACCGACUAAUGUUGAAAAAUUAGCGGAUGACUUGUGGCUGGGGGUGAAAGGCCAAUCAAACCGGGAGAUAGCUGGUUCUCCCCGAAAGCUAUUUAGGUAGCGCCUCGUGAAUUCAUCUCCGGGGUAGAGCACUGUUUCGGCAAGGGGGUCAUCCCGACUUACCAACCCGAUGCAAACUGCGAAUACCGGAGAAUGUUAUCACGGGAGACACACGGCGGGUGCUAACGUCCGUCGUGAAGAGGGAAACAACCCAGACCGCCAGCUAAGGUCCCAAAGUCAUGGUUAAGUGGGAAACGAUGUGGGAAGGCCCAGACAGCCAGGAUGUUGGCUUAGAAGCAGCCAUCAUUUAAAGAAAGCGUAAUAGCUCACUGGUCGAGUCGGCCUGCGCGGAAGAUGUAACGGGGCUAAACCAUGCACCGAAGCUGCGGCAGCGACGCUGAUGCGUUGUUGGGUAGGGGAGCGUUCUGUAAGCCUGUGAAGGUGUGCUGUGAGGCAUGCUGGAGGUAUCAGAAGUGCGAAUGCUGACAUAAGUAACGAUAAAGCGGGUGAAAAGCCCGCUCGCCGGAAGACCAAGGGUUCCUGUCCAACGUUAAUCGGGGCAGGGUGAGUCGACCCCUAAGGCGAGGCCGAAAGGCGUAGUCGAUGGGAAACAGGUUAAUAUUCCUGUACUUGGUGUUACUGCGAAGGGGGGACGGAGAAGGCUAUGUUGGCCGGGCGACGGUUGUCCCGGUUUAAGCGUGUAGGCUGGUUUUCCAGGCAAAUCCGGAAAAUCAAGGCUGAGGCGUGAUGACGAGGCACUACGGUGCUGAAGCAACAAAUGCCCUGCUUCCAGGAAAAGCCUCUAAGCAUCAGGUAACAUCAAAUCGUACCCCAAACCGACACAGGUGGUCAGGUAGAGAAUACCAAGGCGCUUGAGAGAACUCGGGUGAAGGAACUAGGCAAAAUGGUGCCGUAACUUCGGGAGAAGGCACGCUGAUAUGUAGGUGAAGUCCCUCGCGGAUGGAGCUGAAAUCAGUCGAAGAUACCAGCUGGCUGCAACUGUUUAUUAAAAACACAGCACUGUGCAAACACGAAAGUGGACGUAUACGGUGUGACGCCUGCCCGGUGCCGGAAGGUUAAUUGAUGGGGUUAGCCGCAAGGCGAAGCUCUUGAUCGAAGCCCCGGUAAACGGCGGCCGUAACUAUAACGGUCCUAAGGUAGCGAAAUUCCUUGUCGGGUAAGUUCCGACCUGCACGAAUGGCGUAAUGAUGGCCAGGCUGUCUCCACCCGAGACUCAGUGAAAUUGAACUCGCUGUGAAGAUGCAGUGUACCCGCGGCAAGACGGAAAGACCCCGUGAACCUUUACUAUAGCUUGACACUGAACAUUGAGCCUUGAUGUGUAGGAUAGGUGGGAGGCUUAGAAGUGUGGACGCCAGUCUGCAUGGAGCCGACCUUGAAAUACCACCCUUUAAUGUUUGAUGUUCUAACGUUGACCCGUAAUCCGGGUUGCGGACAGUGUCUGGUGGGUAGUUUGACUGGGGCGGUCUCCUCCUAAAGAGUAACGGAGGAGCACGAAGGUUGGCUAAUCCUGGUCGGACAUCAGGAGGUUAGUGCAAUGGCAUAAGCCAGCUUGACUGCGAGCGUGACGGCGCGAGCAGGUGCGAAAGCAGGUCAUAGUGAUCCGGUGGUUCUGAAUGGAAGGGCCAUCGCUCAACGGAUAAAAGGUACUCCGGGGAUAACAGGCUGAUACCGCCCAAGAGUUCAUAUCGACGGCGGUGUUUGGCACCUCGAUGUCGGCUCAUCACAUCCUGGGGCUGAAGUAGGUCCCAAGGGUAUGGCUGUUCGCCAUUUAAAGUGGUACGCGAGCUGGGUUUAGAACGUCGUGAGACAGUUCGGUCCCUAUCUGCCGUGGGCGCUGGAGAACUGAGGGGGGCUGCUCCUAGUACGAGAGGACCGGAGUGGACGCAUCACUGGUGUUCGGGUUGUCAUGCCAAUGGCACUGCCCGGUAGCUAAAUGCGGAAGAGAUAAGUGCUGAAAGCAUCUAAGCACGAAACUUGCCCCGAGAUGAGUUCUCCCUGACUCCUUGAGAGUCCUGAAGGAACGUUGAAGACGACGACGUUGAUAGGCCGGGUGUGUAAGCGCAGCGAUGCGUUGAGCUAACCGGUACUAAUGAACCGUGAGGCUUAACCUU